rnacentral:lncRNA from 1 species
CACGACCAAGUAUCACAUUCUACCCAAAUGAUGGAAGCAAGGACAAGCUUUUUACUAAAGAUAUUGAGCCACGACCAAGUGCCACAUUCUACCCAAAUGAUGAGAGCAAGGACAGGUUUUUUACUAAAGAUAUUGAGCCACGACCAAGUCUCACAUUCUACCCAAAUGAUGAUACCAAGAACAAGCUUUUUACUAAAGAUAUUGAGCCACGACCAAGUGCCACAUUCUACCCAAAUGAUGAGAGCAAGGACAAGUUUUUUAUUAAAGAUAUUGAGCCACGACCAAGUGCCACAUUCUACCCAAAUGAUGGAAGCAAGGACAAGCUUUUUACUAAAGAUAUUGAGCCACGACCAAGUCUCACAUUCUACCCAAAUGAUGAUACCAAGAACAAGCUUUUUACUAAAGAUAUUGAGCCACGACCAAGUGCCACAUUCUACCCAAAUGAUGAGAGCAAGGACAGGUUUUUUACUAAAGAUAUUGAGCCACGACCAAGUCUCACAUUCUACCCAAAUGAUGAUACCAAGAACAAGCUUUUUACUAAAGAUAUUGAGCCACGACCAAGUGCCACAUUCUACCCAAAUGAUGAGAGCAAGGACAAGUUUUUUAUUAAAGAUAUUGAGCCACGACCAAGUGCCACAUUCUACCCAAAUGAUGAUACCAAGAACAAGCUUUUUACUAAAGAUAUUGAGCCACGACCAAGUGCCACAUUCUACCCAAAUGAUGAGAGCAAGGACAGGUUUUUUACUAAAGAUAUUGAGCCACGACCAAGUGCCACAUUCUAUCCAAAUGAUGAUACUAAGAACAAGCUUUUUACUAAAGAUAUUGAGCCACGACCAAGUGCCACAUUCUACCCAAAUGAUGAUGCAAACAAAAAGUUUUUUACUAAAGAUAUUGAGCCGCGACCAAGUGUCACAUUCUACCCAAAUAAUGAUAGCAAGAACAAG